UGGGCGUAAAGCGCACGCAGGCGGUCUGUCAAGUCGGAUGUGAAAUCCCCGGGCUCAACCUGGGAACUGCAUUCGAAACUGGCAGGCUUGAGUCUUGUAGAGGGGGGUAGAAUUCCAGGUGUAGCGGUGAAAUGCGUAGAGAUCUGGAGGAAUACCGGUGGCGAAGGCGGCCCCCUGGACAAAGACUGACGCUCAGGUGCGAAAGCGUGGGGAGCAAACAGGAUUAGAUACCCUGGUAGUCCACGCCGUAAACGAUGUCUACUUGGAGGUUGUGCCCUUGAGGCGUGGCUUCCGGAGCUAACGCGUUAAGUAGACCGCCUGGGGAGUACGGCCGCAAGGUUAAAACUCAAAUGAAUUGG
rnacentral:rRNA from 1 species